CUGUCACAUCACAUUUGAAACACCGGUUCCCGUAAGAUCAUCGAAGUUAAUCAAUGUCGAGCCUGAUCAGGACGUAGAUAAGUGGCCGCUUGAGAAUACCUGGUGCUACAAG